UGGAGGAGAGUACAUAGAUGGAGGGUUCAGUGAGUAUUGUGUUGCACAGGGAAUUAGGAUGGAGAAGACCAUUCCUGGGACACCACAGCAGAAUGGUGUGGCUGAGUGCAUAACAGAACUCUCAAUGAGCGUGCUAAAAGUAUGAGGUUGCAUGCUGGACUACCAAAAACUUUUUGGGCUGAUGCUGUUAGCACUGCAGCUUACCUGAUAAACCGAGGACCAUCAAUUCCCAUGGAGUUCAGACUUCCUGAGGAGGUUUGGAGCGGUAAAGAGGUGAAGUUUUCACAUUUAAAAGUUUUUGGUUGUGUUUCUUAUGUUCAUAUUGAUUCUGAUGCUCGUAGUAAACUUGAUGCAAAGUCAAAAAUAUGUUUUUUCAUUGGCUAUGGUGAUGAGAAAUUUGGCUAAAGGUUUUGGGAUGAACAAAACAGGAAAAUCAUCAGAAGUAGAAAUGUGAUAUUUAAUGAACAGGUUAUGUACAAGGACAGGUCAACUGUAGUGUCAGAGAUAGAUCAAAAAAAAUCUGAGUUUGUCAACUUAGAUGAAUUGACUGAAACUACUGUCCAAAAAAGGGGUGAAGAAGAUAAAGAGAAUGUAAAUUCACAGGUAGAUAUGAGUACACCCGUAGCUGAAGUUUGCAGAUCUUCCAGGAACAUUAGACCUCCGCAACGUUAUUCACCUGUUUUAAAUUAUCUCCCAUUGACUAAUGGUGGUGAGCCAGAGUGUUAUGAUGAAGCCUUGCAAGAUGAGAAUUCAAGCAAGUGAGAGUUAGCCAUGAAAGAUGAGACGGAUUCCUUGUUGGGGAAUCAGAUAUGGAAUUGACUGAAUUGCCAGUAGGAAAGAAAGCUUUGCACAACAAGUGAGUAUACAGAAUAAAGAAUGAGCAUGAUGGUAGCAAAUGUUACAAGGCCAGAUUAGUUAUUAAAGGGUUCCAGCAGAAGGAGGGCAUUGACUACACAGAGAUAUUUUCUCCAGUUGUGAAGAUAUCAACAAUCAGACUUGUACUGGGAAUGGUGGCUGUAGAAAACUUACAUCUUGAGCAGUUAGAUGUGAAAACAACAUUCCUUCAUGGUGACUUGGAGGAAGACCUUUACAUGAUUCAGCUAGAAGGGUUCAUUGUUUAGAGACAAGAGGAUCUAGUCUGCAAACUGAGAAAGAGCUUAUAUGGCCUUAAACAAGCUCCUAGACAGUGGUACAAGAAGUUUGACAGUUUUAUGCAUAGAAUUGGGUUCAAGAGAUGUGAAGCUGAUCACUGUUGCUAUGUUAAGUUUUUUGACAAUUCUUACAUCAUAUUACUGUUGUAUGUGGAUGAUAUGCUUAUUGCAGGGUUUGGCAUUGAGGAUAUUAAUAGUCUGAAGAAGCAAUUGUCCAAACAGUUUGCAAUGAAGGAUUUGGGAGCUACAAAGCAAAUCCUUGGUAUGAGAAUUAUUAGGGACAAGGUUAAUGGUACAUUGAAGCUUUCACAGUCAGAGUAUGUGAAGAAAGUUCUCAGUAAGUUCAACAUGAAUGAAGCUAAACCAAUGAGCACACCCUUGGGUAGUCAUUUCAAACUAAGCAAAGAACAGUCAUUGAAGACAGAAGAAGAAAGGGACCAUAUGAGCAAGGUGCCCUAUGCCUCAGCUAUUGGCAGCUUGAUGUAUACUAUGGUGUGUACAAGGCCAGACAUUGCACAUGCAGUGGGAGUUGUGAGCAGAUUCAUGAGUAGGCUUGGAAAGCAGCAUUAGGAGGUAGUCAAGUGGAUUCUAAGAUAUCUGAAGGGUUCAUUAGAUAUAUGUCUUUGCUUCACAGGUGCAAGUUUGAAACUCCAGAGUUAUGUAGAUGCUGAUUUUGCUGGUGAUAUUAAUAGUAGAAAGAGUACUACUGGGUUUGUUUUUACUCUAGGUGGUACAGCUAUAUCAUGGGCUUCAAAUCUACAGAAGAUUGUUACUUUGUCUACUACAAAAGCUGAGUAUGUUGCAGCAACUGAAGCUGGAAAGGAGAUGAUUUGGAUACAUGGUUUCUUAGAUGAAUUGGGUAAGAAGCAGGAGAUGGGCAUUCUACACAGUGACAGUCAGAGUGCAAUUUUUCUUGCCAAAAAUUCAGCUUUUCAUUCAAAGUCGAAGCAUAUACAAACAAAAUGUUACUUUAUUCGUUAUCUUGUUGAAGAUAAACUGGUAAUACUUGAGAAGAUUUGUGGAUUUAAGAACCCGGCAGACAUGUUGACUAAGGGUGUCACUAUUGAAAAGUUGAAGUUGUGCGCAGCUUCAAUUGGUCUUCUAGCUUGAGGACAGGAGGAUGAGUUGCAGGGAUGAGGGAUUGUUUCUUGGAGGAUAGCAGUUUGAUGUUGGUGAUUAAACUAGUCUCCAAGUGGGAGAUUUGUUGGGCUUUGUGGAGCCUAGUUUUGUUUGAUCCAGUUUAACGACCCGACCCGAAUAAUAUUGCAUGACCUUUUAAUGGGAGAUUUACUAAGGCUUGUUGGGCCCGUUUAGCCCAUUGUGGAACCACAUUUUGUAAUUAGGGUUUUUCAGUGUGGUGUGGUUGUCGUGUUAUAUAUAGAAAGAAAAUAUUGUAGCCGCCAUGAUGGUACUCUGUAUUCUUCCCUGAUGAUAGUAAUAUCCCUACAACUCCAUGGACGUAGGCAAAUUGCCGAACCACGUAAAUACUGUCUUGUGCGUGUGAUUGUUUUUCUUUAGCGUGUGUUUUCUCUAUUUUUUUUGUUUCUCACGGGUUGGGAAUUCGGUUUAAUUCCCUACAUAUAUACGCAUUCUUUUUAAUACUUUUAGUUUUUUUAUUCUAAAAUUUUUAAUUUCUAAUUAAAUACUAAUAUUAAUAAUAAUGAUAAUUCGUUUUCAUAGUCAUGGAUUAAGAUCACAAUUUCUUAAUUCUUUUCUUUGAAUCAUAACUCCACAAAAGUAAUAUUUAAAUAAAAGAAAUGACAUGAUCUCGAUUACCCCAAUCCCAUUGGUAGUCUCUUUUACUAUAUUUUUCAUUAGAAAAAUGUUAAAAUAUCAUGAUAAUGUUUAUAAAACAAAUAUUUAAACCAUUGAAUAUAUAAUAUAAGAUUUAUGUUAUCAAACCAAAAUAAAAAGGAAUUAAAUCAAAAUAAGGUACAUACAAAUGAGAUAGAGUAUAAAUAAUGAGAUCUAAAAAUUUACGGAUAACACUAUCUAAUUGGUGGUGUGUUUUCGAUAAAUAUCGAAAAAUUAUAUUUAUGUAUUAUAACCGAACCCUUAUCAUUAUUUACUAUCAUACCCACAUUAAAAAAAAAAAACUAUAUAUAGACCUUAUUGGGAAUUUCAAAAAAUAAUUCUCUAAUUAUUUCUUGAGUCAAUUAGUUUUCUUUAUUUCUAAAAAAAAUAGAAUAAUUUUUAUAUGUAAUAUUUUAUUUAUAAUUAUUUUACAUAUUUUUAUUUUUAUGAUUAUUCAUUUAAAUUACUUAAAAAAUAAGUAGAAAUAAUUUAAAUAUAUCCUCAAAAAAUGCUAUCAUUUUAAAAUAAAUUUUCAAAAAAGGGUUUUCUCAUAGAAAAAAAAAACAAAAAGAAAAUUAACAAACAUAGCAUUUUUAGAACGGAAUCUUAGAAGGUAAAAAAAAUCAUCGAACAUGUCUUGUCUUCUAGUCCAAAAAAACCAUUUUUAAUUUUAAAAACAAAAAUCUAUUUUUAGAAAACAUUUCUUUUUUCCUUCAAACUUUCCAACAUAGAAGCACGUGACCUAUACAUUAAACAUCAUCAAUCGGCAUAUUUCCAUCAAUGCUUAGAUAUUCCAUGUGAACCAACACAGUUGGAUAUGGAGUGGGUGGGAGGCAUGAAGCACAUGCCCCAAAAUUAAUCAGCCAUUUCUUUUCCAAAAUUUUGACCAAUAGUUCAAUCAAUUUCUUUUACAUAGUCUCAUAUUUUGACUAAAUUAAUUUCAUUUACACACCCUCGUGUUUUGACUAAACACAUCUCUUUGUCGGUAAUUUAAUUAUUCCUAUUUCUAAGGCUCACAAUCUGUGAUCCAUCAUUAGUGGAAUCUGAUUCGCGCCUUCUUAGGAAAAUAUACACUAUCUUAGGAAUACAUAUAUUGCAAUAAUAUUCCUUAAGACUCCCCCUCAAGUUGGAGAGUGAAUAUCAUGAAUUCCCAACUUGUUGCAUAGUGUUACAAAUUGAUCCUUCCCCAAAGCCUUUGUAAGUACAUCUGCUAAUUGGAAGAGAGUGGGAACAUAUAAAGGGCUAAUCAUUUCGGCUUGCAGUUUUUCUCGAAUUAUGUGACAAUCUAUUUCAAUGUGUUUUGUACACUCUGUGAAAAAAAGGAUUUGUUGCAAUGUAUAAAGUUGUUUGAUUAUCACAAAACAAUGGUGUAGGUACCGCCUAUGGGACUUUUAAAUCCGAUAAUAUAUAGUAUAGCCAAGUCUUCUCCAAACAUGUGUUAGCCAUAGCUCGAUAUUCAGCUUCUGCUGAGGAUAUAAAAACAUUGGUUUGUUUCUUGGAUUUUCAUGAGAUGAGAUAAUUUCCAAGGAAAACACAGUAUCUUGUAAUUGAUCUUCUUGUAGCACGACAACCUCCCCAAUCUGAAUCACAAAAAUCUUUUAAGGCAAGAUUACUGGUGAAAGGGAAUAGUAAACCUUGACCAGGAGCACCUUUGAUGUACUUGAGAAUUCGUAUGGUAGCAUUCCAAUGAGGUUUUUGAGGCUCAUGCAUGAAUUGACUUAGUAUUCGAACAGAAUAAACUAUUUCAGGCCUAGUGAGGAUAAGAUAAAUCAAUCUACCAACCAAUCUUCUGUAUUUAGUUAGAUCAUUAAGUAAUGCUCCAUUUGUGCGAGUAAGCUUCAAAUGUUGUUCCAUUGGAAACUUGUCUGGGUGUGCACUUAGAAGUCAUGAAUCUUGCAAAAUGUCUAGUGCAUAUUUUCUCUGAGACAUGAAAAUACCUUUCUUCAAAAGAGAGAAUUCAAUGCCCAAAAAAUAUUUCAAAUCUCCAAGAUCUUUGAUAGGAAAGCUUUUGAGAAGAAAUUUUUUGAGACAUUCCAUUUUUUGAAGACCAUUUCCUAUGAGAAGUAUGUCGUCGACAUAAAUAAGGACUGCAGUAAAUGAAGUACCUUGAGCCUUGGUGAAAAUAGAAUAAUCAACCUUUGAUUGGUGAUAACCAGCUUUUUGGAUGGUUUCUGAAAAAGUGAAAAACCAAUUUCUGGAUGCCUGCUUGAGUUCAUAAAGGGACUUGUAAGCCGACAUACAAUGUUCUCUCUUUAUCAACGAAGACAAUGUGGAGGUUCCAUGUAAACAACUUCGUGCAAGUCACCAUGAAGAAAAGCAUUUUGGACGUCUAAUUGGUGUAUAAACCAAUGUUGGGCAACAAUAACAAUAAGAAGACAACGAAGUGUAGUGAGUUUGGUUGUAGGAAAGAAAGUGUCUAGAUAAUCAUCAGACUCAUAUUGAAUGUUGUAGACCCAUUUGCAACCAACAUGCAUUGGAACCAAACUCCAUGUAUUAUUUUGUUGUAAUGCCUCUAAUUUUGCAUGCAUGGCUUGUCGCCAAUGUGGAUCAAGGAUAGCCUGAGCAUAGGAUGUAGGUGCAGUGUGACCUCUAAUGUUAACUAGAAAAGCACAAUGGGCAGAAAAGAUACGAGAGUAGGAAAGAAAAUGAGAAAUAGGACGAGUACUUGAUGCAGAACUUGGUGUCGAGGUAGAGUGAUUGAUGUGAGCAAAUACUGUGUAGUCUUUAUGCCAUGUCGGAGGUUUCUUGGGAUGAAAUGAGUGUCGUAGUGGGAGAAUAGGAGGAGUGGUGGGUUCGAGAGGGCGUGAAAUAGGUGCAAUGAGUUCAACUUUAGGGGAAUGUGCAAAAUAUGGGAUGGAGUUUCAGGUGGGACAAAGAUGUCAGGGGCAAUAUGUGUGGGUGUUGUUAAAGAGGGCUCAUCUGUGUUAAGCGACUCUUGUUGUUGUGGUUGUGGAGAUGGAAUGUGAGUGGAAAAGGGUGCUGGAGAGGGCCAACACUGAGGAAUGUCUGGGGAAAAAUGGGGCAACACAAAAUUGGGAGUGGGUGAAGUUGAAAUAGAAGAGAAAGGAAAAAUGAUCUGAUAAAAUUUGACAUUGCAACUGACAAAAAAUUUCUUAAUCUCCAAAUCAUAGAGUUUGUAACCCUUUUUACCAUUGGGGUAGCCAACAAAGAUGCAACAUGUGGCACAGGGAUCAAAUUUAUGAGUAGAAUGAACAACAGUUGCAUAACAUAGACAAACAAAAACUUUCAAGUAAUCAAGUGAUGGUGGACAAUUAUAUAACAACUCAAAAUGUGAUUUAGUUUAUAACAAAGGUGAUGGUAGUCAAUUGAUGAGGUAGACAACUGUCAAUACAAAUUCACCCUAAAAAGUUAAGGGUAACUGGGAUUGGAAAACUAAUGCACUUGCCUCAAUGAGAAUAUGGCAAUGUCUGCGUUCAACAACUCCGCCAUGAAGUCGAAAUAAAUUUCUCAUGGAUAGGAAUUCAGAAUCAUUGUCCACCCUAAUGGCUUUAAUGCAAGCAUGAAAUUGAGAACGAGCAAAAUCAAUAAAAGAUUUUAAAAUUUGUUGUGUUUCAGAUUUAUACUGCAUAAGAAAUAUCCAUGUGCAUCUUGUAAAGUCAUCCACAAUGGUGAGAAAGAAACGUGCCCUUGAAUGUGUGGGAACUUUGUGUGGACCCCAACUAUCACAAUAUAACAAAUCAAAUGGAGCUUGAAGAAUAUAGAAGUCUAGUUUGUUUAGCCAUGGGACAAACAAAAUAAUUAUUAUCAUUAGAGAUAUCAUUGGAAGGCAACAAUGGAGAAACUAAUUUAAGACAAAAUGGUGAUAGAUGGCCAAGACGCAUAUGCCACAAAUUUGAAGGGUGAGAAACUUGAUGAGCAAUAGGUGUUAUUUGCAACAGAGACAUGUAAUAGAGACCACCUCGUUGUUUAGUCGAGUCAAUCACCUUCCCCUUGGUCAAGUCCUACAAGACAAAAAAUGGGAAACAAAAUGACACAAUAGUUCAGGGCGCGCAAUGGUAACUUUACUCAUAAACAUCAAAUUUAAGCGAAAAAAUGGAACACACAAAACAUUCUCUAAGGUGAUAUUUGAAUUGAAUGGUAUGGUGCCGAUUGAAGUGAUUGGGACAAAAGACCCAGUGGGUAUUGGUGAGCAUUUUGUUUGAGUGAAAUUUGUGGAAUCAAAAGUGAUGUGAUCAGUGGCUCCACUAUCCAGAAUCCAAGGCUUGGUGAAUACAUAAUUAAUUGAGGUAGUGGAAAAAAUGAACACACCUGUAGCAUUUGCAUAAGCAUUUCUAUUACCGGAAGCCUGGUUUGGAAUCAUCAUGGACACAGCACGGGCAAGUUGUUGAAGUUGGUCUACGAAAACCCUAUGUAAAGAGUCCAGCAGGUUGGAGAAUUGCCAUGUGCAGAUUGGGAAAAGUCUGUUGCAUUAACAAUAGGGUUGGAAUUCUUGAUACCUACGUUGUUGCUGGUGUGGUUGACUUUGUCGAUUGCCUUGAGUUCUUAUGUUGUUGGGAACCCAUGUGUCAUUUUUAAACCUGCACCUUUCUUCAGUAUGACCUCUUUUAUCACAAUAUUUGCAAUGAAAUUUUAGAGUCCCACAAUUUUCAAUUAUAUGACCUACUCUAUUGCAGUAUUCACAGUACUUGUCUUUAAAAUUGUUUGGUCAAUUCUGAAUUGCAAUAGCAAUGGAAAAUUUUUCAGUUGAUUCUGAUGUCAUUUGUCGUUGUGUUUCAUCUUAAACAACAAGAGAGCAGGCUUGACAUGCAUUAGGCACUGGUGACAUCAUAGCUACUGUUGCUGUAGGUGUUUGAAUAUGUGGAAUGAGAUUUUUCUGACACUGUUUGAACUCACUUGUUAUGGUGUUUGUAAGAAUUUUGGAGCUUUGAAAUCAAGCACAUUUCUUAAUAAUUAUUAUAUAUGAUUUAAAUGGAAAUUAUGAUGGUAAAAUUGGAUUCCAAGUCAGAAUAUAAUUUUAAAAUAUAUAUUAAACCUAUUAGUCAUGGUAAAACAAUAUUUUUCGUCAAAUUUUACAACAUAAAAAGUCAUGCUAACUAGAUAUUAAACAUUAAUUGGGUAUCAUUCAUCAAUGCCUAGCUCGAUCCAUCUCAAUCACCAUACGUAGCACCUUUAUUAAAUAAUGUAAACAUAUGUGGACGACAUGUAACAACCUAUUACAUAAUCCUCUAUUACUGAAAAUUCUAUUUUAAUAGAGGGAAUACUCGCUCGGGCACGAGUCAUCAUGUCCGAGAAUAUGCUUUCCAUAAUCGGCCGCCGCGCUGCUUUUUACUGCAAAACAAACGCGGAAUUUGUCGUAUCAACUGUUUAACAAUUUUUUAAAAAUAAAUAAAUAAAAUUUUAACAAUAUUUCUACUUCCUACAGCAAGAAAAAAUAAUAAUUACAUGUGGGUAGCCCUUUUAUUUUUUUAUUUUUUUUCCUAACAUGGAAGUAAAAGGAAAGGGUUCCAGAGAGGAUUUCCUAAACUCACUUGCUUCACCAGCCAAAGCACAAACUUGAAAUGAGAUGAAGAGAACAAGCACCAAGGCAAAAGCGAAAAGAAGAAACAAAGAUUUAGAAGAAAAAGUCAUUGACAAGUCUCGGAGCAGAAAACUGAAAGCCCUAUGGGCUCUGUGAGAAGUUCUGGCAAGGCCGAUGCAGCUCCGCCCCUAUUUAUAGGGGGAUUUUGAGAAAAAAAUAAAUAAUAAAAAACAAUAAUUUUAAAGAAUUUUUUUUAAAAUAAAAAAAUAAAAAAAUCAUUUGUAACGACUAUACUUUUUAUGAAGUCAUCGAUGUGAAUAGUGGUUGUAGCAUCAAUGUCCCCAUUUGAGUUAAUGAUGAUGGGAUCAUGCACAACGUGGCACAAACCCAUUUCAUCAUGGAGGACACUUGUCAAAAUUUUGAUAUUUCACUAAUGGAUGAUGGUUGUUAUGAUUUUGACCCUUUAGGUCAGGUCCACAUGUUUGGUUAAAGGAAAAUUUAUUUUAAACAAAAAAUAAAAAUAAAAAAUUUAUUUUUAUAUAUUAUUUUAAUUUUUUUACUCAUUUAUUUAAUUAUUGAAUUUAAAAAUUAAAUAAUUUAAAAUACAUAUAAAUUUCUAAUUAAUCCUAAUUAUAUUUAAUUUUUAUAAAUAUUUUUAUGGAACAAAAAUUAACAUUUUAACAUUUUUACCAUCACACCCAUAUUAAAAAGAAAAACAACAAUAACAAUAUAAAUCUUAAUUGGAAAAAUUUUUUAAAAUAAUUCACUUAUUAUUUUUUGAAUCAAUUAAUUUUCUAUAUUUCCAUACCUUUAGGAUUAUUCUUUAAAAUGACUUAAAAAAAAUAAAAAUAAUUUAAAUAUACUCUCGGAAAAUACAAUAAUUUUAAUAUAAUUUCUCAAAAGUCAUUUUUCUAUAAAAAUAAAUUUAACAAACAUUAAUCUUAGAACACUUAAAAAGUCCUAAAAUAACGAUUUUUCUUUCCUAAAAAGUAAAAAAAAAAAAAAAAAAAAAAAUCAAAUAUGUCUUGUCUUCAAAUCCCAAAAUAACUUUUUUUUUUUAAUUUUAACAAGAAAAAUCUAUUUUUAAAACAUUUAUAAUCAAACUUUUAGGUUUUAUUUAGAAACUGUUUUUGAAAACCAUUUCAAAAAAUAAAUUUAAAAAUGUUUGUGAAAUAUUUUUUUUAUUGUUUUGUAAAAUAAAAAAUCUAUUUAAUUAUAAUUUAUUUUUUAUAUUUUAAAAAUAAUUUUUAUAUUUAGUAUUUUAUUAUUAAUUAUUUUUUAUAUUUAUAUAAUUAUUUUUUAAAAUAAUCCUUAAGUUAUGUUUGGUCCCAAAAAUUAAUAAGAAAAAAAAUAUUAAAAGAAUUUUUUUUUCAUAUCUGAUUUCAAUAUGAAAAAUAAAAAAGAAAAUCAAAUAUAAUUAAAAUUAAAUAAAAUUUUAUAUAUUUUUAAAUUAUUUAAUUUUUAGGAAAAAAAAAUAUAAAUUUGUUUUUAUUUUUCUUCAUUUUUUUUCUCAUUUUUCCUCAUAUUUUUCCAAAACCAAACAUAAAAAUAAAAUUAAAAAUAAUUAAAAGAUAUUAUUUAAAAUAGUAUAUUUAUUUAUUUUUAAAAUAAAUAAAAAAUUUUAUUGCGUGACAUGUUUCUUAUUUUAAAUAAAAAAACUUUAAAAAUAGUUAUCAAUGAUACCCUUACUUUCCUUUUCACUUUUUUUAAAAAAAAACUUAUAUUUUUUUUCUCUGUUUGUUUCCUCGAACGUGACGUGACGUUGAUAUUAAACAUCAUCGAUCAGCAUCAAUGCAUCACUCAUUGGAUACCAUAGAUCAGAAGUCAACCAACGCCAUUCAUCCACACAGUUGGACAUGGACUAGGUGGAAAACGUGAAGCAUGUACCAACCUUAUCUUUACCAUUAUAUAGUGGUACACAUACCACAAAAUUAUUCCGCCAUUGAUGCAUAACACAAUUUGUUGGAUCCAUACCAUAGCUACUGUUGCUACUGGUGUUUGAAUAUAUGGAAUGAGAUUUUUCUGACGUAUUUGAACUCACUUGUCAUGGUGUUUGUAGGAAUGUUGGAGCUUUGAAAAAGUCAAGUAAUCAAGCACCAAGGUGCUCUGAUACCAUGUAAAAUAAAUAGUGGUUGAAUGACUGUAGACCCCAUUUUGGGGUUCAUUCUUCUUGCAUUUUUGUGCGGCUCAUUCCUACUAGGUGAAGGGCUCUUAGUAGUAGGGUUCAAAGUAUCGGCCAAGUCCGGUACGACUCAGCUAAGUCGUAUCCGUCUUGACACCUACCACGACGAAACUGAUACCAGAUACGGUAUAAUGCACGAACUCGGCUGGGAAUCAGUUAGACUUGACUGACUCGUUUGAGUUUUCGAGUUAACUUGGUUGACUCGGUUAGGUUAUAGAGAAUUUUCAAAAUUUUCAUAAAAUUAAAAAAAAAUUAAUCAGAUAUUACCCUUUCAAAAGCAAACACCUAUUCUAAAAUUUUAAACAUCAAUGAGAAGAUCAAAGAAGACGAAGAAGAAAAAACCUAAAUCGUAACCCGUUCGAAAAUAAGCGGAGACACCAUCGAAGGAUGAGGGCAUGAUUUAUGAUUUACUUACCUGAUUUUCCUCAAAAUCGAGCAUUACCAGAGGGUGGAGCUUUGGUGUCAGCAGUGGUGACUCGUCAAGUGGACUGAAUCUUUCACCGGCGACAUCAACAAGAUAACCCCCUCACAGUCAGAUUGCUCCCCCUCCCAUGUUAAGUCUUGCACGGUUGCAAAUUUGCGAUUGCAGGUGGUAUCGUUUGUUGUGGGUCCUGAUAGCAAUGGUGGCGAGGGUGGGAGAUUGGGAGCUCAAAUUAGUAAAGUGAAAAACUGCUUUUUAUAUGAAUUUAGAAUUGAGUCCCAAUUUACAUGGAAAAUACGUUUCAUAUAAACACUUUAAUAUGAUUUAAUAAUAACAUAUUAGGAGAAUUGAGUAGUUGAUUUGCUAAAGUAAAAUGAUAUGAAAGGUAUAUAUAUGAGGUUUAAUGAUAAAUUAAAGUGUUUAUAUGGCAAAGUAAGAAUUAAAUCCUCAAUUUUUAAUAUUAUUAUAAAUAACUUUGAGCUAAAUGUGAAAAAAAAAAAUUGUUUUAUUAAAAUUUUCAGCUUAUUUAAUUAUAUCUAUUUUGUUUUUUAAUUUAUAUAAUAUUUUUAUAAUUUUUUGAAAAUUUUAAUUAUUUUAUUUUACAUAUUGCCCGAUACCGAACCGAGACACCGAUACCGAUAUGCCUCGUGACCCUUCGAGUCAAUGACCGAUACCGUAACUUUGAACCAUGCUUAGUAGCCCACGUGUUGCCUCAUGGUUGGACAGUAGAGAAUCACAAUUAGUGGACUGAAGACGGAAUGGGAGGGUGACACGUGUCAUGGAAUAUUCUGGAAGAAAAGCUGCAAGCCGUUGGAGCAAGUUGGGGGAGCGUAUUCUAUUACCUGUAGAGAAGAGAUAUUUUCUGAGGAAUUUUCUUUUUUGGCUUGAGAAGUUACAGAGAGGGCUGGAGUAGCAAGUUUACUGGGGGAAAUGAGAAGAUAUUUUUCAGGGUUGUUAUAGAGGAGCGUGGAGUGGCUUGGGGGAGCAAGCUUGCUUGGAGGAAAAGAUUAAGGGAACGAGGACUGGGAGAGAUAGCUGAAAAAUGGAAGCAAGAAGUCAAGGAAAUCAGAAAAGCUGAAGAAGGAGAAGCAGAGGAAAGUUGUGUUGUGGAUUACCAGGUAAGGCCAUUUCGAGCUUGAUAUGUUUUCAUUUCAUAGUGUUCUGCUUCAUUCUUUGUUGAUCUCUAAGCAUUAUUUGUUGUUUGUUGUGGACAUCAAGGGCCAUAAGGUGGUUCUGGUUUGUUGAGAUAUUAGGAAUGCUUUUCGUAUAUCAUUCUUUCCUUAUAUUAUUUAGUAUUGAGAUAUUAGGAAUGUUUAAAUAUUAGAAAAGUUGAGAUAUUAAGAAUAUUGAGAUAUUAGGAAAGUUGAAAUAUUAGGAUAUUAGUUGUUAUUUCCUUAUAUCAUUCUUUCCUUGUAUCAUUCCUUCCCAUUCUUAGAAUGGUGAUUACCCUCUAUAUAUUCUCUGUACAUGAACGAAUAAAAGUAUGAAUGGAAAAAACUACCAUUUAUCAAUUUGAAGAUGGUAUCAGAGCCAUGGAACUGAAAUCCUGGAUAUUUGGUCGCUAUGGUAGUCCGACAGCGAUCAUCCAUCCUAAGACAAGCCCUGAUAUUGAUAAGUCAACCUUCAAAUGCACUCACUGUAAUAAGAUUGAUCCCACCAAUCUGGAUAUCCCACAAUUUCAAAGCAACGACUCUUGGUAUGACCAGGAAAACAAUGAGGAACCGAGGGUUUGAACCAUGGACCUUUAGAUCAUGUUUAGGCCAUCAACACUUUGUUAUUAAUGAUAAUAAUCGUGAUCAACGGAAAAAGGAUUCCAAGAAAACCUCGAUUGCAACUGUUGCCGAAAUAAAAACAGAGGCUAAUGUUGCUGAGAAAGCCUCUGCAUUGGUAGCCGCUACAGAUCAUGGUAGUAAGUUUUUAAAUACUUUUACACCUGUUAUUAAUAGUACAUGGAUAAUUGAUUCUGGUGCUACAGAUCAUAUGACUUUUGAUUCUAGACAGGUUUCACCCCUUAGACCUUCCUCACAAAAAAUUGUUUCCAUAGCCAAUGGUAACACAACCCCAGUCAUUGGGGAAGGAUCCUUAACUCUUACUGAUACUUUGAAUUUGGAUUCUGUUUUAGUUGUUCCAUAUUUAGAUUACAAUCUUUUGUUAGUUUCUCAAAUCACCGCAGCCUUAUCUUGUAUUGUCAUUUUUUGGCCUGAAUUUUGUGUGAUUAAGGACAUCCAAACAAGAUAGACGAUUGGUUGUGGUAUUAAGCGGGGAAAACUCUAUUACUUGGACUUGCAGUCAAAGGAUUCAAAUAAGUUGUAACAAGCCUUGAUGGCAGAUGGAUCUGAGGGGGAGAAGAAAAAAUCUGAAAUUUGAUUGUGGCAUCGACGUCUGGGACAUGCUUCCUUUGGUUAUUUAAAAAAAUUGUUUCCUAGUUUGUUUGCAAAGAGUGAUAUUUCUGGUUUCCGUUGUGAUAUUUGUGAAUUGGCUAAAAGCCAUCGUGUUUUGUUUCCGUUAAUUUUGAACAAAAGUCCGUUUCCUUUUAUGGUUAUACAUUCUGAUGUUUGGGGCCCAUCCAAAGUCCCAACUUUGAGUGGCUCACGUUGGUUUGUUACUUUUAUUGAUGAUUGUACCAGAAUGACAUGCUUAUGCUUGAUGAAGACCAAAGAUGAAGUGAACUUGUUGUUUCAAAAAUUUCAUAAAAUGAUUGAAACUCAAUACAAUGCAAAGGUUCGGGUUCUGCGUAGUGAUAAUGGUGGAGAAUAUCAAAGUUCUGAUCUUUAAAAGUAUUUGGAAGGACAUGGCAUCAUUCAUCAGAUUACUUGUUCCAAUACACCCCAGCAAAAUGGAGUCGCUGAAUGGAAAAAUCGGCACUUGUUAGAGGUUGUUCGUGCUUUCUUGAUAGCAGCAAAAACACCGAUAUCUUAUUGGGGAGAAGCUCUAAAUAAGUAAAUAAAAUUAAAGAAGUAUUUGGUAAAACUUAAUACUUAUUAUUUAAUGAUUUAAAUUGAUUUUAAGUUAAAUUUCAACUAAAUUGCUAACUUAAAAUUUAUUGUUUGAUUCUUAUUUUUAAUAUUAAAGUUGAUUGAUAAAACUAACUUAAAAUUUAUUUUAAAUCAUCAAAUUGAUAUAUUUAUUCUCAUAAAUUAUAAUUAGGGUAAAAAAUGUUGAACAAAUAAUAGAAGUCAAAGGAGAUCAUAAAGGUAAUUAGGACAAAUGAGAUAAACAAGUAAAAUAAAAAUAUGGACUUAAAAAUAAAUUAAUUAUUUUUACUUUUUACUUAUUACUUAAAAUUAUUUUUUACUUUGAAUUAUAUCGUUAAAUUAUUUUAUCAAAUAUACUUAAUUUAUUUAAUGAUUUAAAUUAAAUUAUUAAAUUACUUUAAAUUAUUAAAUUGAUUUACCACACACCCACUAACUCUAAAACCGUUCAACAAGAUAUACAAAUAUCAUUAUUUUCAUCUUAAUAAAAUGAGUUAUAUAUAUACCCAGCCAAUCAUGGGUGCAUUUUGAAGCUCAGCUGUGGCAUAUGAUCCCUACCGAGUUAUAUAGUCAAAGAUAAAAUUUCAGGGGCAAUUUGAAUAUUGAUGAAUCAUCUAAGAAUUUUAAAUUAAAAAAUUAUUAUAUUUUGAAAAUUUUCCAAUUAUAAUCUCAAUAUCAAUCAAUCAAUCAUUCAAAUAUAGUUAUUGAAAGCUAAGCAUAUUAUGCAAAAAUGAUAUAAUUUAUUAGGGCAAAAUGUUAGUAGAACAUAAUUCAAGGAAAAAUAAAAGCAUAUAAAAUUAUAUAUUUGUCAUAUAUUAAUUGGAAAUAAAUUGAAUGUUACAAAAUUAAUAAAAUAAAUUUCAAAGUUUAUAAAAAAAAUUGUGUAGAAGAGAAAUGAGAAAUAUACAUUUAAAUGUUGAUUGAAAUAAAAAUAAGAUAUAUUACUCUAUAGUUGACAUUAAUUGUGGAAUAUUGUCCAAUUGUUUAAUAACGUAACAAAAAUAACUAAUCUACAAGGGACAAUAAUUUUUCUCUAAAAAAAAAUUCCAACUAUUCUUAAAUCAAGAAUAAUUAAUUUUAAGAACCAAUUAUGAAAAUAUAAAAAAAUUCUAUAAAUAUUCUUCAAAACUAUCUGUAAAAGAUGAAUAAAAUUUUAGAACUCUUUAAUUAAUUGGCUUUAAACCAAAAUUUUAGCAUAUCAAAGGAAAAAAUAAAAUAUUAACAUAUCAGUUAAGUAGAUAAAUAAUUAUUAAUGGUUAACUUUUCAUUUUGUUUACAGGAACAUAGUCCAAAGAAAACCAACUAAAGCCAAAACUUUUUAGUAUGAAACCAUAAGUUUCAAUAAUGUGUUAAAUUGAAACUUGAGAUUUAACUCUUUACAUUCUCGAAACCUUUUUGAAGAACAUAAAAUUAUUAUAGAUAAUUUUUUUUGUCUUCAAAACCAUAGAAUUUUCCUAACCAAAACCUAGAGUAUGUAUGCCUACGGAAAAAUUGUUGUGUCACCACAAUAUAUUCAAAAUCAACUUAUUCAUACUUAAAGGUUUGAGCUUUAAUUGGUUUUGUUUGGUUCAUCUUCUUGUAACAAAAUAGAAAGUUAGUCAUUAAUAAUUAUUUGUCUAGUUAAUUAAUUUGCUAAUAUUUAAUUUUUUUUCUUUUUUUUCAAAUUUUGGUUUAAAGCCGAUUAAAGAGUUCUGGAAUUUUACCCAUUUUCUUUAUUUUCAAAAAACAUUUUUAUAUUUUGACAAUAAUUAUUCUCAAGGUAAAUUAUUCUUGAUUUAAGAAUAGUGUAGACCCCCCCCCCCAAGGAGCUGGAGGAGGACUUUUCUUUUAUUAUUUUCUUUACUGUUCUUCCGGACGGCUCUCGAGUGGGCCGCCUUCAGGCAGCUGAUGGGAGGUUGGCUCGGGCAGAGAGGGGACUGAAGUGGGCGGCUCUCGGUGCGGCGGAUGGCAGGUAUACGGCUGGCUUGCUGAGGAAAACUGGAAAAAGGAGAGGUGGACUUUUCGGGAGCAGAGGAAGGAUCAAAAGGGGGGAGCAGGGGACGGCUGAAAAAGAAGGGAGACCUGUAGAGGAAGAGGAGGAAACCAGGCAGAAGGAGCUCCCUUGUGCGCGGUAAAUUUCCAUUUCUUAACGCCUACUUCACCAUUUGAUAAUGUAUGCAUGAUAUCUCCUUGUUUGCUGUGGACAUCAAAGGCCACAGGUUUGGUUUUGGGUUGAACCCGUUUGUAUGCACACUAUGCUCUGUUCCCGUUUUCAUUUCUCUUUGGUGCUCAUCUCUGUACAUGUAUGGUCGUCAUCAUCCUCAUGCUCCCCUAGUGCACCUCAUUUUCCUUCUUUGAAUUUCAUGGGUCUUUCACGUCAUAAGCCUCCACUACCACCUCUUCUCUCCCUACUGUUUCCCUACCACGUUCAUACCCAUCAUGUCUAGGGUGCUUCACCAGCUGCCUGGCGUUCAUGCCCACCAUAUCUAUUAUCAUUCAUCCUUGUCGUCCCGUCAAGCUGCCUCAUCAAACCCAUUUUCCUACUCCCCCAUAUCCAUACUCAUAUACCCGCACCCCGCCAUGCAAAGACCACCCCUGACUCUCAUCUCCGUUUUCCAAUGCCUGUAAAAGUCAUCCCCUCUCACCUUAGCAUGCCCAUGUACAGCUACUUCACACCCUGCCAUAGCCUCCAUCUCUCUCAAAACCUUCAUCGGAUACAUACCAUCCUGACCACGUCUUCUCCGUCAAGCAUCUUCUUGCCUGCGCGUUCCUAGUGGUCUCCACGCUGUCGCAAGUCGGAUCAACCCCGAGGUCGCUGGCCGGAAUCCCAAGGUCGUUGUCGAUGGAGGCGAUCUAGCUGGAGGGUUCGCUGUCGAAGUGCUAGCUGAAGAUGGCAUCGAUAUUGUUCUCGGGAGAGUGGAGCUCGGAUAACUGCCAGCUCCAUGGCCGCGUCACGCCUCCGUGCUUGGUCGGAGAGUCCAGUCCUCCUUUGGAUACCACCGACCGGCGUGCCACCAGAACGAAGAUGACCCUUCCCCCCGGACGUCGGCGUCGACAGCAGCCGGACGUGGAAGCCCCCCACGAGCGCGUCAGGAUGGCUCGUCGCGGAUGGCCCGUCGCGGAUGGCCUAUCACUUCCUCAAUCGCCGCCGUUUGCUUCGUCACCACGCAGCCACGCGCUUCUGCCGCCGGCACCGCCGUCGUCAAUGGUCUUUCUCCUCGAGAUGGGCGCGCCAUCCCCUCCAGCCGGAAAGCUAUGAAGUGGGUGCGCAAGGACCAGGCCUGCUGGAGACAUGCAUGCAUGCACGCGUGGAGGGCCCAAUACCCAUGGGCCUCACCUGAAGGAUCUCUUCCACCUUGGGCCUGCCUUUGAGUGCAUCCCGUUUAGCAUACUCACCUGGAUAUACAAGCCCAUUUGGCUACUUCAGCUCUAAAAUAAAUUUUCAAAUUUCUAACCUUAGGAAUUUAUUAAUGUAUUCAUCUUUUUUUUUUGUUUUUUUUUUAUUUUUUUUUUAUCAUAUUUUAUUUUUAUCAAUUUAGAUUAGCUCGACUUAAGCGUAAUUAAAAGACAAAUUAUUAAGGUUGAAUAUGGUUUUUAAAACUUAAAAUAAUUUAUAUUUUAUCUUCAUUGCUUUAGUUUUGCCUAAUCAUCAUGUAUGAAAAUUUCUAUAUAAUCGAUUUAUGUUGAUCUCAAUGAAUUUUCUACAUUCCGAAUUUUAAGUCCCAUAUUCAAAACCUAUGUCUUUAGAAACCAUUCAUAAAAAAUCCGACAUCCUAAAUUAAUUUUCAAUGCCGAAUAUUCGACUGUUUAGAAACUAUUCUUGGUAUUAUUAUUAUUAGUCCGUACUCAUGUAUUUAAUUCCUUUUAAAAAUUCCAAUCACUAAAAUUCACUUCUUCAAAAAUUCGACUUCCUAAAUUAAUUUUCAAUUUCAAAUAUCCGACUAUUUACUUUCAUCUGUUUAAAUAUAAUUCUUGUUAUUAUUGUUAUUAGUCCGUAUUUAUGUAUUUAAUUCUCCUAAAAACUCCAAUCAUUAAAAUUCAAUUCUUCAAAGAAACCUGACUUCUUAAAUUAAUUUUCAAUCUCAAAAUUUCCACUAUUCAAUUUCGCUCACUUAAAUAUUAUAUUCGUUAAUUAUUAUUAUUACUUCAUAUAUAUUUAUUCAUCCUCUUCUAAGAUUCGCACUCAUUAAAGUCCAAUUCCUUCAAAAUCGCAUAUCCUAAUUUAAUGUUCAAUCCUAAAAUCCCACUACUUGUCUAAAUGUCCUUUUCUUUAAUUAGAAUUAAUAUCCUAUCUUUAUUUAUUUAUUUAUUUAUCAUCAACCCAAACUUCCAAAAAUCUCAUGAUUAUUAUUAUUAUUAUUAAUUCAAACUUUCAGGACCUUAUUAUUAUUAUUAAUUCAAACUUCCUAAACUUCCAAUAUCCAAGCCCAAUUUAUAAAAAUUCAACCUUCAAAUAAUACUUCAAAAUUCCGAUCUUUAAAACUCAAUUUCGAUUUCCGAAAAUUAUUAUACUCACUUUAAUCUAUUUAAUUAUUAUUAUUUUGAUUAUUUAUUUCAAAACUCCAUUUUAAAUCAAAUUCUCUAAAACUUCCGAUUUUCCGAAUCAAAUUCCUAAUCCCAAAAAUUCUCAUGUUCCCACUAAAUUAUUUGAUCAUUGGUAUUUUAUUUAUUUAUUUAUUUCAAAACUCCGUUUAUAUCAAAUUCUUUAAAAUCGUUGAUUUCCGAACUAAAUUCCUAAUCCCGAAAAUCCUCAUAUUCUCAUUAAUUUAUUUAAUCAUUAGUAUUUUAUCUCCAUUUUAAAUCAAUUCUUUAAAACUUCAGAUUUACAAAUUAAAUUCCUAAUCCUGAAAAUUCCCAUAUUCACAUUAAAUUAAUCACUAAUAGUUUGUUUAUUUAUCUCAAAAUUUUAUUUUAAACAGUUCUUUAAAAUUUCUGACUUCUGAAUUUAAUUUCCAAUUUCGAAAAUUCCAGUAUUCCCAUUCAUUUAUUCAAUCAUUACUUUCAUCCUUAUUAUUAUUAUUCCAUUUAUUUAUUUGUUUCAAAAUUCCAUUUUUAAACAUUUUUCUUUUGAAAUCCCAAUUUUCGAAUUUAAUUUCCGAUUUCUAGACUUCUAAUUUCUUUCAAGUUUGACAUCCUAAAAUUCCAACUCUUAAAUUUAAUUCUCAAGACUCCAAUCUUCAAAUAACUUUCGAGACUUCAAUUUCCAAAUAAAUCUCAAAAAUCCAAUUUUCUCUCGAACAGUUUUAAUUCCACUCCGAUAUUUAAAUAAUGUUCUAUUUCUUUUAAUUUAUACACAAGCAAGAAUGAUGAAUCUUCAUAAUUUCGAAAUAAUGGGAUUCGUGAGAUUAAUUCAUGCAAUAUGAAUCGGGCUUUGGCGGAGCCCAAAAUAUGUGAUUUCCUUAUGACUGAUUGAUUGAUUUAUUUAUUUAUUUUGUUUGAUUUAUUCUGUUCCUUGACAUGCGCAUAAUUUUAUCUAUUCGUGAUUCACUAAUCCUGUUUCAUGAUAGCGCAUUCGUGACUAGAGGACCAGGUACGUAUCCACUCACAUUUUGUUCAUUCUUUAUACAUGUUUUGAUUCCCAUAUGUGCAUGAUCGCUUCGAGUAUUCAUUGAUUUUCUCAUUGAUUGCCAUGUCAGCUUCAUUUUAUUAGUAGAAACCCGACUUUAGGGACUUAGAGGGGUGCUACGGUCGUUACCGUACCUUCCCGAUAAGUAACCUGACCCCUGAACCCGAUCCGGUUUUUCACAGACCAUCUUUUCCAAAGUAAGGAGUCACACUUAGGGUUUUUCUUUCUCAUUUUGUUUACCCUUUUAAAAAUAAAACAAAAAUAAGUGGCGACUCCAAGUCAAUUUUCUUAAUCAAAUAAAAAUCAAUUUUUCGAAAUGAAAUCGAGCUCGCCAUUCGAGUGGGAAACGCAUGAGCCAAAAUGCGGGGUCCACAAAUAGUUAAUAUUUUUCUAAGUUUGAAAAUCUAAAAUAUUCUUAAUAUAUUUUUUAUAUUUUUAAAUUAUUGUUUGUCUUUCUAAUAUUAAAAAUUAUUUUCAAAAACACUUCACUAUCUAGGAUCUAGACUGAAGGCUGUAUACACCUGAGAAGUGAUGGGAAGAGCAAUGCAGCUACCCCAGUGUAAUUUAGAUAGGAAAACCACCAAUCUGAAUAAGAGCUGUGAAUUUAGAGAGGGAUACUGGGAUAGGGCAAUAUCAUAGCACAGGCAAUUUUCUUUGCUGCUGAGUUUUGUUCACACUGGGCUUUCGCAGCCAUGCAUGGUCUGUUGCAUCAGAGUCCCCACACCAGUUAAUGAUAUUGGAUGGGAUCAACCCCAUUUCAUCAUGGAUGACGCUGCUCAUGAUUUUGAUUGUAUUGGCCGAUUGGAGAAAUAAUGUUUUUAAUAAAAAUAAUAUUAAAUAUUUUAAAUCCUUUUUAAUGAUAAAGACAAAGUUUGACAUGUUUUUUAAAAUAAUUUUGAAAAAGAGAUUUCAAAAAUGGUUCUGGUGUUUUUAGAAAUAAAAUUUCAUUUGAAUACUAAAUUCUAAAAAACAAUUUUUUAUUUUCAAAAAUUAAAAAUAAUACAUUUGAUGAGUUAAUAAAAAUAGUUUUACAAAAUAAGUAAAAAAGAAAACUUGUUUGGAAAAUGUCUUUUUAAAUUGAGUGCUUUCUUUAAUUAACUUGAUUUUAUAAAUAUAAAUCAUUUUUAUAUUUACUCUUCAUUAAAAUUUAAAGUAAUUGUACCAAUUUUUAAAAAUAAUUAUAAAUUAUGUGAAUACAUUUACAGGUAUAUUAGAUGUCUCGAUAUAGGUAUGUUGGUGGGGGCAUUCUAAAGGUGCAACACAUUAUUCAAAUUCGCGUCUUGAUCAUCAGCUCAAGCAAUUUUGAUGGUACAUCAAUUUCCAUGUCACAGUCUGAUAAGGAUGAAACAUGCAAUAUGAUAAUUAAAAAGUUUAAAAAAUUAUAAAAUGUUAUUAAAUUUAUUAAAAAAUAAUUAUGAUUAAAUGAGUUUAAUAAUUAAAUUUAGACUAUAUUAUUAAAUCUACAUGAGGAUACAAUAUCAUCAAAUUGACAUUAUUUGGUAAUAUAAUAAAUACAUAAUUACCAUAUAAAAUAAUAUAUGACCAAUUCUUAUUCAAGUCAUAUAAAGUUUAUAUAAUACACCAUAUAUAUGUUACCAUUACCAUAUAAAUGACACAUCAUGUGAUUGAAUUUGAAUAAUGUCACAGCCACAAUGGUAUCUUUGGAUCCAAGGAAUUGUUUUCAUCUUCAUAUUAUGAGUUUUAAAAGUUCUGUUAUGAGAGAAUCUCAUAUUUUUAGAGAUUUUUCUCUAUUUUUUUUUAGAUUUAUCUUUAUUUUUUUCAAAGAUUUUUCCCUGUUUUUCCCAAAAACAAUAUUAUAUGUUUUUUUUAGAGAGUUUUUUUUUCAAUUUUUUCAAAAGAUUCUCUACUUUUUAAAAAAAUUUCUCUAUUUUGGUUGUUGGUGGUAGAGACAUUCAAAAUAUAGACGAUGAAAGGAGGUAUCAAGAGCACGAAGAAUGCUCUUAAUGAAAAUACAAAGAACAAGUUUUUCUUUGGUUUUCUAAACAAUGCAAAAAAUAGGAGAAACAAGUUUAAAAUUAUGCAUUGUUAAAAUAUUUAAUUUUUAUAUUAAAAAGUUAAAAUAAGUUCAACGAAUUUAAAGUAGCAUAUAAAAAUAAUUUAUUAAUUUUAAAUAUAUUUUUUAUUUUCUUUUGCUUUGCUUUUGUUUUCUAUUUUCUUUUUUCUUUGAAAUUGUCUAGAAACCAAACAUAACCUUAGUAUUUCAUUUAACUGUAAUCAAUAACCGUAAUUCCAGCAAAAAUUGUCCCUAUCUAUGAUCCUAACAAAAACUUUAGUGGUUUUUCCUAAUUUUAUUGAUAAAGCGUAGUUUAGAUAAAUUUUUUAUUUUUUAUUUUUUUAAAAAUAGAACUUUUGUAUAAAAAAUAGAAACUCUUAUAUAAAAGUAUAAACCUACCUUAUGUCCUUAAAAAUUAUUUUAAAAUUUUAAAAGUUGAGGUAAUUCAAUUUUUUUAAUUAAUCUUUAUAAACUAUUACACUUUCAAGGUAAGUUCUUGUAUUUUACGUAAAAAUAAAAAAUAAAAAUAAAAAUUGCAUAUGGAAACAAACAUUAAGUAAUUCAAUAUUUUUAAAUUUAUAAUUUUUCUAUUAUCAUGUAUAAUACAAGAAAGAAAAAUAAAUUUUCAUAAAUUUAUAUUUAAUGUUUUGUACUCAUUUUUCUCUUGAUUUUACAAGAGAUCUUCACUUCUUAUCAUUUUUAGGGAAAAGUGGGUUUUGACUCACUAAUUUGAAAAAAAUAUAGAAAAAAAACUUCAACUUUAAUAAAUCAGUUUUAUUUUCAUCCAUUUAAAAAUAUUUUAAGAUAGAUACACUUUUACAUAAGUCAAAUAAUUAUUUACUUGAAAUAUCCUUUUACUUUAAUAAUAUUAAAAAAAAAAUUUGUCAUUUUAAUUUGAUAAAAGGAUAUAACAAAUAAAUAUAUCUUAAUUUUUUUUAUUAUAUAAUAUGAGAUACAAAUCAUUUUGAAAAAAAUUCUAAGAUUUCAAGUAAUAAAUAAAAUAUUUUUAAUAAAAAUAUUUAAGAUAUAUUUAUUUGGAAUAUACUUUUAUCGAAUUAAAAUGAUAAAUUAAUUUUUUAAUAAUUCUAUUCAAUAUUAUCAAGUAAAAGGGUAUUUUAGGAAAUAAUUAUCUAACUUAUGAAAAAGUGAAUAUAUUUUAAAAUAUUUUUAAAUAAAUGAUGAUAAAAUUGAUUUAUAAAAGUUAAAGUUCUUUAUAUAUAUUUUUUCGAAUUAGUGAGUCAAAACUCACUUUUCCCUAAUUUUUAAUUAUCACUAGUCAUGUUUUCAAUUGGUUAGAGAAAAAUCGCUAAAAUUUUAUUUUAUUUACAUAUUAUUAGAUCCUACAAAUAAAUAAUAUUUUUCAUUUAGCAUUACUCAAUAAAAUCCUAAUUAUCCUAAACCUCAUGCCUUUAACUUUUGGACCAUAAUACACAAUUUCUAAGUCUCAAUGCUAACUUAAAAAUUUUAUUAUCAUUAAUAUUUUAUAUUAUUGUGAUAUGUGUAUGAGUCCCUUUUAAUCUUGUAAAUAUAUUUUAAAAUUGGAAAGACUUCUUCAAUUUAUAGUAUAUAAAAUCUACACAAUUUGGAGCAAAUUAUUAUAAUAAAUAACAUCAAAGCAAGCCAAUCUCUGACCCCAAUUUAUUUCUCACACCUACUACCUUUAUUCUUGUUUCUUCCUUUGUUCUUCAUGUUUAUUUAAUAUUGAUCUUGAAUUAGAAAAACCUUUUUCAUGCUUCUUGAUCUCCUCAGUCAUAAUCAUGUUUACUACCUUUUAAAACACCAUUUUGAAUUUUCCAAACGAACCAUGAUCGAAGGGAUGGUGCCCUUCCAACUCUCAAGCAAUUCACUAAGGAUUAAUAAGCCUUAUAUUUCAUCAUCAAAUUUAAUGUCAAUUGAAUUUAAUUAAUUCAUGAUAUCAUUAAAUUCAUUCAAAUGUUGCAUAAGAUUUUUGUUCUCAAACAUCUUCAAAUCAAUUUUUAUUUUUUUUAAUUAGAUGUACUUUAUUUGUUGUAGAAGAUUGUUCAUACAUGGUGGUUAGGGCAUCAUGAGGGACAUUGUGUAUUCUUCUUCUUUAUAUAUAUAUAUAUAUGUUGAAAACAACUGAUUUUUAUAAGGUUAACCUAAUCGCACCAAGAACUUUGUGAUCAAGCAAAUUCCAUUCCUUUUCAUGCAUCAACUCUAGUUUUUUUCCUAGUGGCAGAUACAAAUCUUUUUGGUAUAGAUAAUCCCCCAUUUCGCAUCUUCUAUUUUGUGUGGAUCCUUCUCUAAUCCCAUUACUUUCACUCAAAUGGUGAUUGGUCGAAUAUAAGUUAUAUAACAAGGUUAGGAUUUGCAAACUUGGGCACUUUGAUACUAAUUAUUAACAUAAUCAUAGAUACAUGAGUAUAAAUAAAUAAAUAAAAAAUUUAACAUGGUUUAACAAUCAAUGUAAUCCUCGUAUUCAUGGAGCACACUAACACUUAAAGAUCUACUAAUCAAAUGAAGAUAAAAAUGUGAUAACGGAGAAGGCUCUCCUUAUCCACGUAAUUGUGACCAUACACUUUUUUUUGUACUCACUCGUUAAUCCCUUAGCUCAAUCCUCAACAUCAUCUACCCGACGUAAUAAGAUUGGUCCAAUCUUCACAAUCCAACAAAACUUACAUUAAAUAACUCAACAAAAAGCCUAAAAAUGGAUGACUAACCACGAACAAAGCCCUUGAUAAGCAAAAAGAAUACCCCAACUGUGUAUUCUUUUUUUUUUUUUUUAGUUGAAAACAAUCGAUUUUUACAAAGUUAACCUAAUUGCACCAAGAACUUUGCGAUGAAGCAAAUUCCAUUCCUUUUCAUGCAUUAACUCUAGCUUCACUCCCAGUGGCAGAUACAAAUAUUUUUGGUAUAAAUAAUCCUCUAUUUCGCAUCUUCUAUUUUGCGUGAAUCCUUCUCUAAUCUCAUUGCUUUCACUUAAAUGGUGGUUGGUUGAACAUAACAAGGCUAGGAUUUGCAAACUUGGGCACUUAGAUACUAAUUAUUAACACAACCAUGAUACAAGAGUAUAAAUAAGAAAAAAACCAAUAGAUUUUAACAUGGUUCAACAACCAAUAUAAUCCUUCAUGGAGCACACUAACACUUAAACUAAUCAAACGAAAAUAAAAAUGUUAUAACGGAGAACACUCUCUUUAUCCACUUAAUUGUGACCGUACACUUUUUUUUGUACUCACUCAUUAAUCCCUUAGCUCAAUCCUCAACAUCAUCUACCCCGUGUAAUAAGACUGGUCCAAUCUUCACGAUCCAACAAAACUUACAUUAAAUAACUUAACAAAAAGCCUCGAAAUGGAUGACUAACCACGAACAAAGCCCUUGAUAAACAAAAAGAACAUUUAUAGACCUUUUUUUGUACUCAUUAUCAAAUUGGUCAGAGAACUCAUCAAACCACACGUUACCUCCUCGUUCGCUUGGCCUCCCUAGAGCUAGCUCAUCAAUGUGAUAUGUAUAUGUGUAGAUUACAUUAUCCAAACAGUGAGUCAGAAAAAAUAAUAAUAAUAAUAACAGAUGAAAAUGUAUCUUCAAAAUUCACUGUAAAGUUCUGCCUUUAAAGACUGAAGUUCAUGGGAUAGGGGAUUGGAUUAUGUUUGGUACGAAAUCUGGGAUGAACCUUGUCUGUUCCCAUCCUUCAACUACUCUAGACUAUACUUCUGGAUCUUUCAACCAUUCAAAGCCCCAACGAGACCUUGAAAGCUGCUUUUUCAGAUGCUUCAGUAACGGGGAAGGUUUUUGGUGACAACACAUGGUGGAGAAAGGAAGAGAAUUAUGAUUGGAAGCUUACAUAACUAGACAUUCCAUUCCCUAAUAUUGCAGCUCCACACCUUAAGCCUUUUCACCCUUUUCUCAACAAGCUGUGAUAAACAGAAGUCAUAUAAACGGUAGGUAAAAUGGAUGAAUGAGCUGGCUAGAGAAGAUCAUCAUGGACUAUUUUAGAUUAUCAUCCAGGAGAAUUUGUCAAAGCACCUUGGAUGCUUCCCAGCCGUGGAACAACAAGGAGGUGGUUCUACCCUGAAAAUUUUGAACCUGAGAAAAAAACUUCAUCAAGGCUCUACUUUCUUUUUGAGAAGAAUAUGUAAAUGAUAGAAAUAAAGAAAAUAAAACCUAAUACAUACAUCACUAAUAAUCAAUGCAAUUUGGAUUUUGUUCGAGUGUUGCAGUUUGGAAAUUAUCAAUUCAGAUUGUCUACUUUCAAGACCUAAGAUGGUUGCACAUGGUGACGGUCUUUAAUCCUCUUUUUUAAAUUAAUGCAAUUUUUCACCAAAAAUUGUUUUGUGCCUGCAUGGAGUUCCACAUACUAGCUUUUUUUUUUUUUUUCUUUCCUUUUUGGGAGAAAGAAAAUGAAAGAACAUGUUAGAUUUUGAGUCCAUUAACUCCUUUAGAAUUGAAUAAAUAAUUUGACUCUUUCUUGACUUUAAUACAACCACUUAGCUUGCCUAACUUUCAUACAUCUAUUUGACUUGAUUUAGGUAGGUGAUUUGUCUUCUUUUUUUACACUAAAAGAGACACAAAUUAAAAAUUAAUCAGACUGGGUUCACUUUCCAAACGAUUGAGGAAACAAUUUUUUCCGGUCUAAUUGUAAAUAAGUACUUAAACUUAGGUUAGUUUUAGCUUUAAAGUUAGACAUAAUCAAUAGGCCUUCCAAGAGAGAACAGGACGAAGUACUCAAAGAACAACUAUUUUCAUUGAAAUAAAAGGAUUGCAACAAUGUCUCAUUUAUCUAUGAUCCAAAAUGCAGCACUUGAACAGGGUAUGUUUAGUAUUAAGAGAUUAUAUUAAAAUAUUAAUCCGAUAUCUUAAAAUUGAAAUUAAGAAAUUGUUAAUGUAUUUAUUUUGAAAUUGAUUCAUAUUUAAUAAAAUUUUUAUAAUAUUAAUAUUAUGUUAAUAUCGAGUAUCUAUUGCUAUUUCAUUUUCUAAUUAAAAUAAUAAUAAAUUAAAAGGAAACAUAGAAAUAGCUCUUAAAAACCAUUAAGGUAGCAUUAAAGUUGCAUGAUAGCAAAAUGAGUAGACUAUUAAUGGAGUUCAACACACAAACAAGCCUGGCAAGCGCCAUGAGCACCGAGCAGUGCUCAUUGCAGCCCUUAUUUAAGCAAACUCAUAGACCAGCGUGCAUUAUUUUACAUAGAUCCACUCGAAGAUGCGUUUAAUUAUUAGUUCUUAACAUCAUCUUCAAACUCGGCAUCAGGGGCCUCAUUAGCAUCAACACAGCACCUCUGGCACCCAGAUCCAUAUCGGUAUGAACGGCAGCAACCAUGGCAGCAACCAUAUUGGCAGCCACCAUGCCCGUGCCCAUGCCCGCCCCCAUAACCACCUUGAUGGCCUCCUCCAUAACCACCUUGAUGCCCUCCUCCAUACCCACCCUGAUACCCGUUUCCGGGGCCUCCAUAGGACUUGCUCUCCUGAACACCCUUGCCUUCUGUGCUUUUCUCUGUAAUACAAACAGAAAAUUAAUAUAUGUCAUAUAAUGCGAACUAUCAAAAGCAUCUAUAAUGAAGUAGGUUGCUCAGAGUUUCUGUAGUGCUUUCAGAUUGGCAAUGUCCAAUUAAUGGUACGUUUCUCGAACUGCUUUUCUGAAGAGGCAAUAGAUGAUGCACAGAUGUGUACAUAUAUUGGAACAAAAAUGCGCCAGAAGAAAGGGAGGAGAGAUAAAAUCACCUGUUUCAUGAACGGAAGCAGAUACUUCAGAUGAGAUCAAGCAAACAAGAGCGAAGACAAGAGCGAAAAGAAAAAGGGAAGCUUUAGAACCAGCCAUUUGCAAGCCUCAGAAAAGAAACAAAGAUUUCUAUCACUGAAAGUUCUAUGUGAGAAGCGGUGACAAGAGCAAUGCAGCUCUUCCCCUAUUUAUAGCCUAAAUGGAGUUGCGGAGAGAGAGAGAGCAGUGGCUGCCCUGUAAAUAUCACAUGCAAUUAUCGUUUUCUUAUGAGUUUCUGAGCAUGUCACCGACUUUGUAGCUAGGGUUCAUGCAUGAGAGCAGUGGCUGCCCUGUAAAUAUCACAUGCAAUUGUCGUUUUCUUCUGAGUUCUGAGCAUAUCACUGACUUUGUAGCUAGGGUUCUUGCAUGAGAGUCCCCACAUGAGUUAAUGAUAUUGGAUAGGAUCGAUUCUACGUCAUCUAUGACGCUUGUCUUCAUCCCUCUUGACUCUAUAGUAUACUAUAACUCCACCCCAUAUUGUUCUUGACGAUUUUCUUUGUUGUCAGUUCACUGCCGCGCAGCAGGAUGGUGGUGUUGCUGCAGAGUUAACCAGGCACUGAGUCUCUCCCUGUCACAUCACCAAG
rnacentral:lncRNA from 1 species